AGGUCUCAGCUCAAGGAACCUCCUUAAUCACCACUGUUGUGCCUGGAUUGGUCUGUUAGUCUGCAUGGGACAUGCCUUAGCUGUGAGAUGUGGACCAGCUGCUGAGGUGGUGGUGAUGAGUUUUUACUGAGUGCACCCUGUUUGAACAACGCUCCCAGGUCGAUGCCGGGUACUCUUUGCCUAAGGCUGAUAGAAAAAAAACAGCUGAAGCAGUUGGGUCACAGCGUGGAUAAAGUGGAGUUCGUUGUGAUGGGUGGAACUUUCACGGCCUUGCCUGAAGACUGCAGGGAUUACCUCAUCCGAAACCUUCCUGAUGCGCUGCCGGGUCACACCUCCAGGCUUGGAGGGAGGCCAGAUGUCAGCUCCCGUAAGGGAUGGCUCAGCCCUCAAUCCGGAGCUCUGCGCCCCUCGCACUCUCCAACGCAGCUACCCUUGCAGUGACUGAGUGACAGGGAGAUGUUCUUCUCAUUUUACAGUAGAUGAAGUGAGAAUCAGAGGCUGUUUCAUGGACGCCUGCUUUGGUUUGUCAAAUACACAGCUUUCGCUGCGUUUUGCAGUGUAGAACUGAGGACUAAAAUGAGACGGAUAUGAUGUUUUGGAGCUGUUAAAACUAGGCAGUCGUCACUGCUGACAGCUGAGUUCACUGCCUUGUUGUCGUUUCUCAGUGCAGCAUUUUUUCCUUGAUACCACCGUCAGCUUCUGAAGCAGUCGGUUUUAACGCUGGUUAGGAGUAGCCCUUGUCUGGCCUCGUGUCUGCCUUCAUAUUUCAAAGCUCAAUUUCAUUCAAAGCUGUAAUUUCAUUUGGUUUUCCUCUGGAGGGCAGCAAACACUUCUGCUCUUUUAUUUUUUUCUUCAUCAUAGAAUGGCCUGGGUUGAAAAGGACCACAAUGAUCAUCGAGUUUCAACCCCCCCUGCUAUGUGCAGGGUUGCCAACCGCCAGACCAGG